UAGGGAAUCUUCGGCAAUGGACGGAAGUCUGACCGAGCAACGCCGCGUGAGUGAAGAAGGUUUUCGGAUCGUAAAGCUCUGUUGUAGGAGAAGAACGAGUGUGAGAGUGGAAAGUUCACACUGUGACGGUAUCUUACCAGAAAGGGACGGCUAACUACGUGCCAGCAGCCGCGGUAAUACGUAGGUCCCGAGCGUUGUCCGGAUUUAUUGGGCGUAAAGCGAGCGCAGGCGGUUAGAUAAGUCUGAAGUUAAAGGCUGUGGCUUAACCAUAGUACGCUUUGGAAACUGUUUAACUUGAGUGCAAGAGGGGAGAGUGGAAUUCCAUGUGUAGCGGUGAAAUGCGUAGAUAUAUGGAGGAACACCGGUGGCGAAAGCGGCUCUCUGGCUUGUAACUGACGCUGAGGCUCGAAAGCGUGGGGAGCAAACAGGAUUAGAUACCCUGGUAGUCCACGCCGUAAACGAUGAGUGCUAGGUGUUAGACCCUUUCCGGGGUUUAGUGUCGCAGCUAACGCAUUAAGCACUCCGCCUGGGGAGUACGACCGCAAGGUUG
rnacentral:rRNA from 1 species